GCUUACCAGACUCCAAUUUCCAAAGCUAAGCGAGGAGGGUAUAAGGAUACUCUAGCUGAUGAUUUACUUGCAGUUGUUUUAAAGGCCAUGAUAGAGAAAACAAAUAUGGACCCAAGUGAAGUUGGGGAUAUAGUUGUUGGUACUAUUUUGCCACCUGGUUCACAAAGAGCAACAGAGUGCAGAAUGGCAGCAAUCUAUGCUGGUUUUCCUGGAAAAGAAAAUCUCUAUUUCACCAUUGAAGAUCUGCCCCUACUUGCUUCUCUUCUGGUCAUCUUGAGUGUCUCUAGUCAUCUCUAAAGUUC